CAGCCGCCGCGGUAAAACGUAGGUGGCAAGCGUUGUCCGGAAUUAUUGGGCGUAAAGGGCUCGCAGGCGGUUUCUUAAGUCCGAUGUGAAAGCCCCCGGCUCAACCGGGGAGGGUCAUUGGAAACUGGGAAACUUGAGUGCAGAAGAGGAGAGUGGAAUUCCACGUGUAGCGGUGAAAUGCGUAGAGAUGUGGAGGAACACCAGUGGCGAAGGCGACUCUCUGGUCUGUAACUGACGCUGAGGAGCGAAAGCGUGGGGAGCGAACAGGAUUAGAUACCCCUGUAGUCCCUGUCUCUUAUAC
rnacentral:rRNA from 1 species